AACGAACGCUGGCGGCAGGCUUAACACAUGCAAGUCGAGCGCCCCGCAAGGGGAGCGGCAGACGGGUGAGUAACGCGUGGGAAUCUACCCAUCUCUACGGAAUAACGCAUGGAAACGUGUGCUAAUACCGUAUACGUCCUUCGGGAGAAAGAUUUAUCGGAGAUGGAUGAGCCCGCGUUGGAUUAGCUAGUUGGUGGGGUAAAGGCCUACCAAGGCGACGAUCCAUAGCUGGUCUGAGAGGAUGAUCAGCCACACUGGGACAGAGACACGGCCCAGACUCCUACGGGAGGCAGCAGUGGGGAAUAUUGGACAAUGGGCGCAAGCCUGAUCCAGCCAUGCCGCGUGAGUGAUGAAGGCCCUAGGGUUGUAAAGCUCUUUCACCGGUGGAGAUAAUGACGGUAACCGGAGAAGAAGCCCCGGCUAACUUCGUGCCAGCAGCAGCCGCAGUAA
rnacentral:rRNA from 1 species